AGUCUGGCCUGCCCACUGAUGUGAGUUAAAGGGCUGCGGUAUCACUGACCGUGCAAAGGUAGCAUAAUCAAUAGUCUUUUAAAAGGAGUCUGGUAUGAAUGGUCGGACAAGGGUGCAACUGUCUUUUGAGUAGAAAUUGAACUUAACUUCUAUGUGAAAAGGCUUAGAUAACAUGAAGGGACGAUAAGACCCUAUAAAGCUUUAUAAUGGAAGUAGUUAGUGUGAUUAAUUGUUAGUAAGGGACCAUUAGUUAGUGGUAUUAUUGUGUUGGGGCGACAGCAAUGUAAUAAGUAACUGUUGUAUAAUAUAUAAUAAAGAUGAUUAUAGCUCGAUGUGAUCCUGUAUUAUGGAUUAGUAGAGUAAGUUACUUUAGGGAUAACAGCGUGAUUUUUCUUGAGAGUUCAUAUCGACAGAAGUAGUUGCGACCUCGAUGUUGAAUUAGGGUAGCCUGUGCGGUGAAGGAGUUGCACGAGUAGGUCUGUUCGACCUUUAAAACCCUACAUGAUUUGAGUUCAGACCGGUUUGAGCCAGGUG
rnacentral:rRNA from 4 species